UAAUACGGAGGGUGCAAGCGUUAAUCGGAAUUACUGGGCGUAAAGCGCACGCAGGCGGUUUGUUAAGUCAGAUGUGAAAUCCCCGGGCUCAACCUGGGAACUGCAUUUGAAACUGGCAGCUAGAGUCUGUAGAGGGGGGUAGAAUUCCAGGUGUAGCGGUGAAAUGCGUAGAGAUCUGGAGGAAUACCGGUGGCGAAGGCGGCCCCCUGGACGAAGACUGACGCUCAGGUGCGAAAGCGUGGGGAGCAAACAGGAUUAGAUACCCUGGUAGUCCACGCUGUAAACGAUGUCGAUUUGGAGGUUGUGCCCUUGAGGCGUGGCUUCCGGAGCUAACGCGUUAAAUCGACCGCCUGGGGAGUACGGCCGCAAGGUUA
rnacentral:rRNA from 1 species